GAGAGAGGCCCGACGGCAGUAAGGACUGCUAAUCCUUUACCUCCGCAGUUAGACCCCGCGGCUCACUCG
rnacentral:tRNA from 1 species